UGUGCCCCAGUGGGUGAUUUGUUUUUACAAAAUUCUUCACAGGAGGCUUUCAUGGCAAGACACGCUGAUGAGUUCAUAAUACAACCGGAUGGACACACCUUGAAUUUGUUCACUACUUCUUCCAGGCAUAGAGAACGUCUAUGUCAGAAAGCUGGCUUCCACUGUUUUAAUGCAAUUUCACAGACACUGAGAGGUUCGAGGGAGAUGGGGAUGCACAGGGAGCUUGAGCAACACGCAGAGGAAGUGGUGACAGCCAAGAUUGGCCUCUGGGUAUCAACAGUCACCUGGAAUGUAAACUUGACAACAUUCUGGACAUGAACAAAAGAGAGACACUGGCUGAAGGACUCAGCAAGCUUACUGCCUCCUCUCCCUUUCUGGAACAAACAAACAACAUUUGAUUUGAUUUGAUGUGUUGGAAAAACCCCAGCAAAACAAGAGAAGAAUUCAAGAAAGAGGAAAACAUAACAUUGUAAGAAACUGAAACUGAGAACUUCAGGUAAAGACACUUUGAGUGACACCUACAUCCUAAAACGGGGAACAGUGAAAUCCUCUGAGAGCUGAUUGGAAACUUCCAAAUGUUCAAGAAAAGUUACAAUCUGAAAUAAAGCAAGCUUUAACUCGGAAAUGGACUUGAGAACCCACAAAGCAAAAGGAGCAGCAUUUUCUACACCAGCAAGGCCAUGCCUCCGUUAGUGGGGUAAUUGAGGGCGUGGGCGGCAGGGCAGUGGGAUGGUGGAUAUUCUAAUUCUGCAGACAACCAUUUUGGAUCUUUUCUUUUCUUUUCCUUUUCUCUUCUUUUCUUCUUUUCUUUUCUUUCUCCCCCCCCCCCCUUCUCCCUUCCUUCCUUCCUUCCUUGUGUGUGAGAGAGAAGAGUGAGGGAGAGAGAAAAUCUCAAGCCAGCUCCACACUCAGCGGGGAGCCCAAGGUGCAGCUCAAUCUCACGACCCUGAGAUCAUGUCCUGAGCCAGAACCAAGAGUCCAACUGGGCCACCCAGACACCCCAAUCUUUUUUUUUUAAGAUUUUAUUUUUAUUUAUUUGACAGAGAGAGAGACAGCCAGAGAGGGAACACAAGCAGGGGGAGCAGGAGAGGGAGAAGCAGGCUUCCUGCGGAGCAGGGAGCCCGAUGUGGGGCUCGAUCCCAGGAUCAUGACCUGAGCCGAAGGCAGACGCUUAACGACUGAGCCACCCAGGCGCCCCCUCAUUACAACUCUUAAGCAUAGUGGCCCACCAGCUCUUCAUAUUUCUCAGAUUUUUUUAACCUUUUAGAGCAACCCUAAGAAAUCUCAGACUAAAUAUUUGCCUGAGGCUCAGCAGCUCUUUCAGGUUCAUGUUGAUUCCUUUUUGUUAUAGUCAACACGUCUUAUUUCAAAAUGUUAGCAGGAGUUAUUUCUGGGUGAUGAGAUUGGAGUGCUUUUCAUUUUCAUCUUUAUGCUUUUCAGUGGUUCCCAGCACUUCUGAAAGGAAAUGGUCUUCUUUAUUAUUCCUUUGUGGGACGCUCUUCAAAUGAGAAACAGCAAGAACCAUAAUUUUAAAAAAUUAAAAUAUCCUGCAAGAAUAAAUGUCACUUCCCAAAGGACAACUUAGCAAAACAGUAACAACAAAAACCAAACAUUCCCUGAAACUCCCUCAGUUAGAAUUUUACUCCAGAAGGAGUCAUUGUCUUAAAAGGUGUCUGGGUCUCAGGAGGCCUCUGGGAACAAUGUGCAUAAGGAUGCUGGCUCUGGUCAGUGUGUGUGUGUGUGUGUGUUGGGGGUUUGAGUUUCCUGAUGUUUGUGGAGGAAGGACAGGUUGGUCAACAGCAGCAAGGAGACCAACCCAACAGACAUUGCCGUCAACAAAGGGAUGGCACGAUGGUGGCUGGCAAGGUGUAGGAGGAAUACAAAACAGAAGGAAAUGUGAUGGCAUUAUUGAUGAAGGAAUAAAAAACUGGAAGCAGAAAUAUUGUAGAGAAGAGAGAGCGAGCAAGUGCACGAGCAGGAGGGACAGAGGCAGAGGGAGAGAGAGAAUCCCAAGCAGGCCCCAUGCUCAGUGUGAAGCCUGAUGUGGGGCUCAGUCCCUCGACCCUGAGAUCAUGACCUGAGCCAAAAUCAAGAGUUGAAUGCUCAACUGACUGUGCCACCCAGGUAGGCGAUCCACAGUCGGAGGGGAGUAACCUGUGGCUUCCCGAAUAGCACAGAGAAGGCAACUUCCGAUGCACAGACAUUUCCAGAGAGAAUGCCGGCUUCUUCCCUUGCCGAGCUCCUCUCUGUCUGGCUCUUACUCACCACUUAAAGACAAGGUUGAGCCAGUCUCCAAUCACAGCUACCCAGAGGAGCUUGAUGCCCACAGCUUCACGGAGAUGGAACCAGAUGGGGAAGAGGACAUAGAAGGCAUUCCUGAGGUCUGCGAUCAUGGACACCAGGAUGAACCAAUCCUGGGAGUCCUGGUAAUUCACCUGGAGGUAGUGCGUUGACUGGAUCCCAAAGUCAUGAAGAGCAUUCAUUCCUUGCUCCAUCCUUCCUCCCUGGCUCCUCAGGCAGCCUUCCGUUAAGCCCUUGCAGCGUUUACAGACUUGGUGGUGAUUGCUCUGCUAUCAGCCUGCGCCUUGCCCCUGUUUUUAUACACCCUGGAUCCAGUCUGCAGGUCAACCCAGCCCUGAUCUUUGGACUCAAAAACCACUUUUGUCUAAAAUCUAUUGAUCAAAGGUGCAUCACCAGGAGGUUGAUGCAAACAUACUCAGGGUGAUUUACGUAAAAUAGGAAAACAGGCACACAAAAACAGCCUGAUCUGCCAUGUACUCGGCUGGGCCAAUUAUUAACUUUGGCAGGCUGCUUGGUAGCACAAGGGCUGCCCUCCUGGCUCCCAAACCAGGCCAGAGACACAGGACAGAGUCUACAUCUGCCAUGGUUCUUGCAAAGAUCCUGAUUUCAUAUCUGCAAGUGCACUUAUUUGCAGGCAAACAAAAGUCUUGGUGCUCUAGCUGUCAUGUUUUAAGAAUAUUCCUUUUAAAAUGCGGUAAGUUCUCUCAUCCUGGGAACCAUCACCUUGCUGGGCCUUUCUUAACUGCAGAGGGUCUCUGAAGUGCCUCUGGUCUGGGAGCUCAAACCCUCUUCCCAGCGUUGGCUCUGUAUCUCUUAGGGCCAGAAAAUAAUCAUCUUUGAAUGCACUGAUUAAUUCACUUAAUGUCCUUCAAGUUGGGACCUCUGGGGUUUUAACACACAAGUUUAAGCAGUAGAAUGAAUGUGUGUUCAUGCAAAAACAAUGUGAUAAUAUGUGGUUUUCAAUAAAAACACCAGCAAAUUGGGACGCCUGGGUGGCUCAGUUGGUUGGGUGUCUGCCUUCGGCUCAGGUCAUGAUCCCGGGGUCCUGGGAUCGAGUCCAGCGUUGGGCUCCUUGCUUAGCAGGGAGCCUGCUUCUCCCUCUACCUGCCGCUCCCCCUGCUCAUGUGUUCUCUUUUUCUCUUUCAAUCUGACAAGUAAAUAAAAUCUUAAAACAAAAACAAAAACAAAAACAAAAAAAAAACACCAGCAAAUUGGUGACUGGGGACUCUGGAAAGGGCUUCUGUACUUUUUUAAUGCACUUGAAUGUAGCUGAGACACAAUGUUACAUGAGUUUCAGGUGUACAACUUGGUGAUUCAACAACUCUACACAUUAUGCUUUGCUCACCACAGUGUAGCCACCAUCUGUCACGGUACAACAUUAUUACAAUACCACUCACUGUAUUCCCUGUGCUGUACCUUUCAUCCAGGUGACUUAUUCAUUCCAUGAGGUCUGGAAGCCUGUAUCUCCUGCUCCUCUUCUCCCAUUUUGCCCAUCCUCCCACCCUUCUUCCCUCUGGCAACCAUUAAUUUGUUCUCUGCAGUUAUAGGUUUGAUUCUGCUUUUUGUGUUUAUUCAUUUGUUUUGUUUUUUUAGAUUGCACAUAUAAAUGGAAUCAUAUGAUAUUUGUCUUUCUCAGUCUGACUUAUUUCACUUAGCAUAGUACCCUCUAGGUCCAUCUGUGUUGUCACAAAUGGCAAAAAAAAAAUCUCAUCCUUUUUUAUGGCUGAGUAAUACUCCCGUGUGUAUGUGUGUGUAUCUAUAUGUAUCUAUAUAUAUACACCAUAUCUUUAUUAAUUUAUCUAUGGAUAUAUAGUUGAUUUGCUUCCAUAUCUUGGCUAUUGUAAAUAAUGCUGCAAUAAACACAGGAAUGUAUGUAUCUUUUUGAACUAGUGUUUUUGUUUUCUUUGGGUAAAUGCCCAGAAGUGGAAUUACUGGGUCAUAUGGUAUUUCUACUUUUUUUAAAGAUUUUAUUUAUUUGAGAGAGAGAGAGGAACCGGGCGUGGGGCAGAGGGAGAGGGAGAGGGAGAAGCAGACUCCCUGCUGAGCAGGGAGCCCGAUGUGGGGCUUGAUCCUUGGGACUCCAGGGUCAUGACCUGAGCCAAAGGCAGAUGCAUAACUGACUGAGCCACCCAGACGCCCCUGGUAUUUCUAUUUUUAAUUUUCGGAGGAAACUCCAUACUCUUUUCCACAGUGACUGUACGAAUUUACAUUCUCACCAACAGUACAUUAGGGUCUCUUCUUCAUCACAUCCUUGCCAACAUUUGUUAUUUCUUGUUUUGAUUUUAACCAUUCUGACAGGUGUACAGUGAUAUAUAUUUUUAAAAAUAUUUAUUUAUUAAGUAAUUUCUAAACCCAGUGUGGGGCUCGAUCUCAUGAGCCUGAGAUCAAGAGUCAACGUUCCUCUUACUGAGCCAGCCAGGUGCCCAUGUGAGGUGAUAUUUUAUUAUGGUUUUAAUUUGCACCUUCUUGAGGAGUU